AGUGAACGCUGGCGGUAGGCCUAACACAUGCAAGUCGAACGGCAGCACAGUAAGAGCUUGCUCUUACGGGUGGCGAGUGGCGGACGGGUGAGGAAUACAUCGGAAUCUACUUUUUCGUGGGGGAUAACGUAGGGAAAUUUACGCUAAUACCGCAUACGACCUACGGGUGAAAGCAGGGGAUCUUCGGACCUUGCGCGAUUGAAUGAGCCGAUGUCGGAUUAGCUAGUUGGCGGGGUAAAGGCCCACCAAGGCGACGAUCCGUAGCUGGUCUGAGAGGAUGAUCAGCCACACUGGAACUGAGACACGGUCCAGACUCCUACGGGAGGCAGCAGUGGGGAAUAUUGGACAAUGGGCGCAAGCCUGAUCCAGCCAUACCGCGUGGGUGAAGAAAGCCUUCGGGUUGUAAAGCCCUCUUGUUGGGAAAGAAAAGCAGUAGGUUAAUACCCCGCUGUUCUGACGGUACCCAAAGAAUAAGCACCGGCUAACUUCGUG
rnacentral:rRNA from 1 species